GCAGCGACAGUGCCCAGGGCUCUGAUGUGUCUCUCACAGCUUGAAAAGCCUGAGACAGCUGCCUGUGUGGGACUGAGAUGCAGGAUUUCUUCACACCUCUCCUUUGUGACUUCAAGAGCCUCUGGCAUCUCUUUCUGCAAAGGCGUCUGAAUGUGUCUGCGUUCCUGUUAGCAUAAUGUGAGGAGGUGGAGAGACAGCCCACCCCCGUGUCCACCGUGACCCCUGUCCCCACACUGACCUGUGUUCCCUCCCCGAUCAUCUUUCCUGUUCCAGAGAGGUGGGGCUGGAUGUCUCCAUCUCUGUCUCAAAUUCAUGGUGCACUGAGCUGCAACUUCUUACUUCCCUAAUGAAGUUAAGAACCUGAAUAUAAAUUUGUGUUCUCAAAUAUUUGCUAUGAAGCGUUGAUGGAUUAAUUAAAUAAGUCAAUUCCUAGAAGUUGAGAGAGCAAAUAAAGACCUGAGAACCUUC
rnacentral:lncRNA from 1 species